rnacentral:rRNA from 1 species
GACGAACGCUGGCGGCGUGCUUAACACAUGCAAGUCGAACGAUGAAGCCUUUCGGGGUGGAUUAGUGGCGAACGGGUGAGUAACACGUGGGUAAUCUGCCUUGCACUCUGGGAUAAGCCUGGGAAACUGGGUCUAAUACCGGAUAUGACUACUUCACGCAUGUGGGGUGGUGGAAAGUUCUGGCGGUGUGAGAUGAACCCGCGGCCUAGCAGCUUGUUGGUGGGGUGAUGGCCUACCAAGGCGACGACGGGUAGCCGGCCUGAGAGGGCGACCGGUCACACUGGGACUGAGACACGGGCCCAGACUCCUACGGGAGGCAGCAGGUGGGGAAUAUUGCACAAUGGGCGAAAGCCUGAUGCAGCGACGCCGCGUGAGGGAUGACGGCCU